CAGUAGCCGCGGUAAUACGGAGGGUGCGAGCGUUAAUCGGAUUUACUGGGCGUAAAGCGUGCGUAGGCGGCUUUUUAAGUCGGAUGUGAAAUCCCUGAGCUUAACUUAGGAAUUGCAUUCGAUACUGGGAAGCUAGAGUAUGGGAGAGGAUGGUAGAAUUCCAGGUGUAGCGGUGAAAUGCGUAGAGAUCUGGAGGAAUACCGAUGGCGAAGGCAGCCAUCUGGCCUAAUACUGACGCUGAGGUACGAAAGCAUGGGGAGCAAACAGGAUUAGAUACCCCAGUAGUCCCUGUCUCUUAUAC
rnacentral:rRNA from 1 species